AAAAGGGAAAAAAAAAAAAAAGAGCAAGGGGAAACUGACCCAGCAUCGGAGCCCAGCUUCUCCCUCCAUCUAAUCCUACCUUCUUCCCCUUCAUCCUGCAAGUGCUGAUCCCAUCCCAGGAAGGAUCCUUAAUUAACCUCUUGCAUGCUGGUGAGUUCUGCUUCCCAGAGAUCCCACCUACAGCUCCACCGAGAGCUGAGUCGUCUGAGAGAGCAGAUGCUGUGGUGGGAUUCUUGGGGCGAUUCACCCACCUCACUUGCUUGGCAACAGUGGUAGGUAGGGUGCUCCAGUUACAAGGUAACAAUGCAAUUGUUAAAACUUUCACCUUUGGUGAAUUGGGAUGGUUUACUUGUAGAAGGAAGCACAAUGACACCUGAGAAAGAUCAGGGAAAGGCCAAAUUGGUGGAUGAAACUAGGUGGUUAUUGCUAAAUUUGACUAACACUUUGAAAAAUGAUAACCAGGAGUUCCCAUUGUGGCUCAUCAGGUUAAAAACCCGACUAGUAUCCAUGACGAUGAGGGUUCGAUCCCUGGCCCUGCUCAGUGGGUUAAGGAUAUAGCAUUGCUGUGGCUGUUGGGUCAGCAGCUGCAGCUCUGUUUCGACCCCUAGCCCGGGAACUUCCACAUGCUGCAGGUGCAGCCGUAAAAAGAAGAAAAAAAAGAUAACCAAAGGCUGAGAGCAAUCAAGGGCUAAGUGUGAAAGCUGGAGGUCCUGUCGUGGCACACAAGGAGAUUCCUGAGUCCUGCAGAAAGAGAGCAGACAAAGUGGAGGAGCUCAGAGCAGCGAAGUUCCUUCAACCUAGGUGGCUUGGGAUCAAGGCCAUGCUCUGGGAGAGCAUGUCCUGACAUUUCAGACGGGACCUCUGAGUCGAUAAACGCCACAGCUGAAAUCCCUAGAUUGCCUUGAACCCUCUGAGCCUACAGAAGCAGCCCAUUCUUCCCUAAUAAAGGCUAAUAAGACCCUAUUCCUAGAAGAAAUGUGGAGGUUUCUGCUGCCAUAGACAUUAUGCAGCCCCUCAGGAUCUGCCCCCACCUUCCCCUCCAGCCACUAGACCUAUCAUGAGGAGUCAGGUCACACCAGGACUGGGCUUGAUAAGGAAGGGAAGGGACUCUAGCCCACAGGUACUGGCAGGAGUCAGGAGAGCACAGGUGGACUGGGGUCUGAUGGGGGAGCCUGAUGAGAGAUGCAUCAGGUUGGAAUGAUUGAUGAACUUAAUGUGACAGCACGUUCCUCCCUGGAUGCAAGAUUCAACAUCCCAGCAAGGACCACAGGAGACGGUGCCAAAAAGCUUCUAGGAUGGCUCCUGGAAGCACGGAAGGAGUCAUGGCUCAGACUUGUAGAAAUGCCAGCAUUUUGGAGUAGGGUGGUGGAAAGAGGAAUUAAAGGGCUCUGUGAAGUGGGCGUGCUGGGCUGACUGUCCUAAAGCCCCCAGGCAGAGGAAACCGGAAGCCGGUGGAGGCCUCUGUUCCGGUAGGGACGGAGCGCUGAGAGUGCGCAUGCGUCGCCGAGACGGCGGGCGACAGACCGCCCGUGGGUCCAGCUGCAGGUAGGAGGGUCUGUCAGGGCACCAGGGUCCCUAACAGCAGCGAGGGCAAGAGAACCCCAAACCAUGGAGGGCAGGUGGUGAUAGUUACACGUCCAAAGGGAGGUGGAUGCCAUUACUAGCAUGAGCGGUCGGUCAGGUCAGGGUGGCCCCAAGUGGCCUGGCCUACAGCGCGUCUUGGAGGACAAGGUAAUCCCUGGGGGCAAGGGAGAUGGGCAUCCAACAGAUGUUCUGGACAAUCAAAGAAAUCAAGAAGGGAUAAUCGGGAGCCUGAGGGCAAUCGUCCCAACCAAAAAAAAAAAUGCCGUGCUUCCUUGCCCGGUUUCUGGAGGAGCGCCUGUUUUCAGACCAGGAACCCAGUGACUAAGGGAGAAAUCAAGCCCCCGGGGAGAAGCCUGUAACAGCAAAGCAAGUCUAUCUGGAGGGGCACGCCAGAAUCCUGGAGGAAUGGCUCCCUGGACAUCUAUGAAAAAAUGGAGCCCAGUCAUGGCAGGAAUGGUUGUGUCAGAUAGUUCCUGCACCACCAGAUCCCCCUUCUGUAAGAAAGCACUUAUUCCCCCAGCCUCUGGGAGUGUUGCCUGCAGAAAGCCUGUAGCCAUCAGCUCCCAUCAGACAAUGCCUCGGGGAAGAGAGGCGCCUCGUCCAAGGUUGCACCCCUCGUCCAAGCGCCAAUAUGGUGGCCUGGAUGCCCAGCAUGCUUGCCUCAGACCUCCUGCAAUAAUCUCCACUUUAGAGGGGACUUCCCAAGGUGCACACCCCGCAGCAGAGCACGAGGGGAAGCACGGAAAUAGGGUUGGAGGAGAGGGGGCCAGUCCGCACAUGUCAUGUUCGCUCAGACGCUGGCGAGGGUGGUGUUCUUCCCCUUCUCUUAGAGCAAAGGGACGACUCGGCAAGGUUUAAGCAAGCAGUUCUAUGCUCUUUUGCAAAGAUCCCUUUUGCUGUCAUGAGGACAAUAAAUUGUGAGGUCGAGGUUGACACGAGACCGGAAGCAUCGAGCCGCAAGCAGCCAGGCCAGGGAAGGAACCAGAGCUUCAGGUACUACACGUGAUCUUAGCCAAAAGGCCGAGAAGCAAUGGAACCGGAGCUUCAGCAGCAACCCGAGGCAACACCAGCAGACCCUGAAUCCGCUGCACCACAGCAGGAACUCUCCUAACAUCUCCAAGGCUGAAAAAGACUCAAGUUAAUUUCUCCCUCACUCUGUGAGGCCCACGCAGACUCUUCCCGCAGGACAGGCCCACGGAGAAUGAACUGCCUGUGACAAGGAAGAGGUCAGCGUCCUGAGCGGUGGCUGGAGGAAGGAGCCCUGGGCAAGGUUUCCGACUGACCAAAGGUCUACACCCAUGGGAUAUGGAAGUUCCUGGGCUAGAGACAGAAUUGGAGCUACAGCGGCCGGCCUACACCACAGCCACAGCAAUGCAGGAGCUGAGCUUCGUCUAUGACCUACACCACAGCUCAUGGCAACACUGAAUCCUUAACUCACUGAGCGAGGCCACGGAUUGAACAUGCAUCCUCAUGGAAGCUAGUCUGAUCUGUUUCUGCUGUGCCAUGACAGGGACUCCUCGUGCUCACAUCUUGAGGGACUUCACCGAUGAGCUGAGAGAAGGAGCCCUGAGAAGAAGCCAGAGGUCUUCAUCUUGAAAUACUGUCUGCAAACAGCCACAACAACAAGGUACCAAGUCGCACUGGAAAUCCCUUUGAAACAUCCAGAGACUGAGCGCUUGCCCGCAGCACCUGGAUGCAGGGCCUGACCCGUCACUCGCUUCAGGUGCGUUCACACAGAGCACCCCUCAAGCCACCUCAGGUUUGAACCUGCUUUUUAACAUGUGCGGAACGAAAGAGAACGGAUGUGUCCAGCUCUGACUGAAUCACUCUGUCGUACAGCAGCAAUGAUCACAACCUUGUAAGUCAAUGAAACCUCAAUAAAACUUAAAAAAUAAGAUAGGCGGACUGGAAUAGCUCCAGUGCCAUUCACAUCUACUGAUAAAGCAAGUGCCAUUCUGAUUAGACCCACAUCCAAUUUCGUCUCUUGGACUAUAGUAAUGAAACAAGAUGUAUUUUCACAGGAUGUUUCAGUAUGUCUUCAGUCCUAAUUAUCCACUUUCAAUUAAAAAACAAAAAGCCUCAGCACUGCAAUAUAUACCACCGAUCAUUACAUGCCUAUCACAGCUCAUAUCCGAGUCCCUCAGUGUAAAAGAUGGUUGACAUUUAGCCGGGAACUUUUAAAACACUUGAGGAUAAAUUAUGGCCCAAACUUACUCUUCUUAAUGACAUGUAUAAAGUUCAGCUCUUUAAUAAAAGGUUUCAGGAAUAGGAAAACAAAGUUUCCAGCAAUAUUCAGGAAAUAAAAGGUCUUUGAGAAUGGUCAGGUCUUGUUUCAAUGAAAUUGUGCAUUUUUAAUACAGUUGGUAUAGAGUGAAACUCUUAGAAAAACAUCGAGGAUUUGAAAAUGAAAUGGAACAUCCUAUUUGCAGGGUCACCAGUACCACAGCGAGAUUUGUCUCUUAAACAAUGACACUUCGUAUCUCUGUAGUUCCAUGAAUACUUUUGAAGUGUCAUAUUAAAACCCAUCUCGUGGCCUUGAGGCAAAGAGAAGCAAUUAGUCUUGGAGUUGUGAAUAAAUAAAAAUCCAUUUAUACACCCGUC